CCUACGGGAGGCAGCAGUAGGGAAUAUUGCUCAAUGGGGGAAACCCUGAAGCAGCAACGCCGCGUGGAGGAUGAAGGUUUUCGGAUUGUAAACUCCUUUUGUUAGAGAAGAUAAUGACGGUAUCUAACGAAUAAGCACCGGCAAACUCCGUGCCAGCAGCCGCGGUAAUACGGAGGGUGCAAGCGUUACUCGGAAUCACUGGGCGUAAAGAGCGCGUAGGCGGGAUAGCAAGUCAGAUGUGAAAUCCUAUGGCUUAACCAUAGAACUGCAUUUGAAACUGUUAUUCUAGAGUAUGGGAGGGGAAGGUGGAAUUCUGGGUGUACGGGGAAAAGCCGUAGAGAUACAGAGGAAUACUCAUUGCGAAGGCGACCUGCUAGAACAUAACUGACGCUGAUGCGCGAAAGCGUGGGGAGCAAACAGGAUUAGAUACCCGAGUGUC
rnacentral:rRNA from 1 species